UACGUAGGGGGCUAGCGUUGUCCGGAAUCAUUGGGCGUAAAGCGUGCGCAGGCGGUUGGUUAAGUCUGAUGUGAAAGCCCCGGGCUCAACCUGGGAAUGGCAUUGGAAACUGGCCAGCUGGAGUGUGGCAGAGGGGGGUGGAAUUCCGCGUGUAGCAGUGAAAUGCGUAGAGAUGCGGAGGAACACCGAUGGCGAAGGCAGCCCCCUGGGCCAACACUGACGCUCAGGCACGAAAGCGUGGGGAGCAAACAGG
rnacentral:rRNA from 1 species